rnacentral:rRNA from 1 species
GUCCACGCCCUAAACGAUGAAUACUCGAUAUUGGCGAUAUACAGUCAGUGUCUAAGGGAAACCGUUAAGUAUUCCACCUGGGGAGUACGUUCGCAAGAAUGAAACUCAAAGAAAUUGGCGGGGGUCCGCACAAGCGGUGGAUUAUGUGGUUUAAUUCGAUGAUACGCGAGGAACCUUACCAGGGCUAGAAUGGGAGGAGAAUAUAGGAGAAAUCUUAUAGCUAGCAAUAGCUGCUUCCAAGGUGCUGCAUGGUUGUCGU